CUACGGGAGGCAGCAGUUAAGAAUCUUGCGCAAUGGGGGAAACCCUGACGCAGCGACGCCGCGUGAAGGAUGAAGGCUUUCGGGUUGUAAACUUCGGUAGACUGGGAAGAAGAACUACGUUCGUUGAGGGCGUAGAGUGACGGUACCAGUCUGAAGCCCCGGCUAAUUACGUGCCAGCAGCCGCGGUAAUACGUAUGGGGCAAGCGUUGUUCGGAAUUAUUGGGCGUAAAGGGCUCGCAGGUGGUUUGUUAAGUUGGUGGUUUAAUCUCUGGGCUCAACCCAGAGUCAGCCUUCAAAACUGGCGAACUUGAGUACGAUAGGGGAUAGCGGAAUUCUCGGUGUAGCGGUGGAAUGCGUAGAUAUCGAGAGGAACACCAAUGGCGAAGGCAGCUAUCUGGAUCGUAACUGACACUCAUGAGCGAAAGUGCGGGGAGCAAACAGGAUUAGAAACCCCUGUAGUCC
rnacentral:rRNA from 1 species